rnacentral:rRNA from 1 species
ACGCUGGCGGCGUGCCUAAUACAUGCAAGUCGAACGCACGAAGUUGAAGAGCUUGCUCUUUAACCAAGUGAGUGGCGGACGGGUGAGUAACACGUGGGUAACCUGCCCAUUAGAGGGGGAUAACAUUCGGAAACGGAUGCUAAUACCGCAUAGUUUCAGGAAUCGCAUGAUUCUUGAAGGAAAGGUGGCUUCGGCUACCACUAAUGGAUGGACCCGCGGCGUAUUAGCUAGUUGGUGAGGUAAUGGCUCACCAAGGCAAUGAUACGUAGCCGACCUGAGAGGGUGAUCGGCCACACUGGGACUGAGACACGGCCCAGACUCCUACGGGAGGCAGCAGUAGGGAAUCUUCCGCAAUGGACGAAAGUCUGACGGAGCAACGCCGCGUGAGUGAAGAAGGUUUUCGGAUCGUAAAGCUCUGUUGUUAAAGAAGAACAAGGAUGAGAGUAACUGCUCAUCCCCUGACGGUAUUUAACCAGAAAGCCACGGCUAACUACGUGCCAGCAGCCGCGGUAAUACGUAGGUGGCAAGCGUUGUCCGGAUUUAUUGGGCGUAAAGCGAGCGCAGGCGGUUCUUUAAGUCUGAUGUGAAAGCCCCCGGCUCAACCGGGGAGGGUCAUUGGAAACUGGAGAACUUGAGUGCAGAAGAGGAGAGUGGAAUUCCACGUGUAGCGGUGAAAUGCGUAGAUAUGUGGAAGAACACCAGUGGCGAAGGCGACUCUCUGGUCUGUAACUGACGCUGAGGCUCGAAAGCGUGGGAGCAAAC